GACGAACGCUGGCGGCGUGCUUAACACAUGCAAGUCGAACGGAAAGGCCCUGCUUUUGUGGGGUGCUCGAGUGGCGAACGGGUGAGUAACACGUGAGUAACCUGCCCUUGACUUUGGGAUAACUUCAGGAAACUGGGGCUAAUACCGGAUAGGAGCUCCUGCUGCAUGGUGGGGGUUGGAAAGUUUCGGCGGUUGGGGAUGGACUCGCGGCUUAUCAGCUUGUUGGUGGGGUAGUGGCUUACCAAGGCUUUGACGGGUAGCCGGCCUGAGAGGGUGACCGGCCACAUGGGGAUUGAGAUACGGCCCAGACUCCUACGGGAGGAAGCAGUGGGGAAUAUUGCAAAAUGGGCGGAGGCCUGAUGCAGCAACGCCGCGUGCGGGAGGACGGCCUCGGGUUGUAAACCGCUUUCGCCUGUGACGAAGCGUGAGUGACGGUAAUGGGUAAAGAAGCACCGGCUAACUACGUG
rnacentral:rRNA from 1 species